AAUUGAAGAAAUUUUCAGACCAAGUUUUUUGAAUUGUGGGAUUAAAUUGGAAAAUACUAAGAUAGAAUAAAGAGCUGAUCCGGAAAAAUGAAGGGACGUUAAUUGAAAAGAUUGAAAAGUUGAAUUUUCUGGAAAAGUUUUGGGUUCUUGGUUUCUGCAGAUUCACGGCGGAGGUGAAAAAUUGAGAGAGAACCGACAUAACUUUUUGUGUCGAUUCCCACAGACGGCGCCAAAUGUUGAUGCACAAAAUCGGAUGGGUCUUGGAA
rnacentral:lncRNA from 1 species